UACGAAGGGGGCGAGCGUUGUUCGGAUUUACUGGGCGUAAAGGGCGCGCAGGCGGCUCAUUUUGUCAGGCGUGAAAGCCCCGGGCUUAACCUGGGAACUGCGUUUGAUACGGAUGGGCUAGAGUUCGGGAGAGGAGAGUGGAAUUCCCAGUGUAGAGGUGAAAUUCGUAGAUAUUGGGAAGAACACCGGUGGCGAAGGCGGCUCUCUGGACCGAUACUGACGCUGAGGCACGAAGGUCAGGGGAGCAAACGGG
rnacentral:rRNA from 1 species